UACGUAGGUGGCAAGCGUUGUCCGGAAUUAUUGGGCGUAAAGCGCGCGCAGGCGGUCCUUUAAGUCUGAUGUGAAAGCCCACGGCUCAACCGUGGAGGGUCAUUGGAAACUGGGGGACUUGAGUGCAGAAGAGGAAAGCGGAAUUCCACGUGUAGCGGUGAAAUGCGUAGAGAUGUGGAGGAACACCAGUGGCGAAGGCGACUCUCUGGACCGUAACUGACGCUGAGGCAUGAAAGCGUGGGGAGCAAACAGG
rnacentral:rRNA from 1 species